CUGCGGAGGGAUCAUUACCGAGUUAUACAACUCAUCAACCCUGUGAACAUACCUAAAACGUUGCUUCGGCGGGAACAGACGGCCCUGUAACAACGGGCCGCCCCCGCCAGAGGACCCCUAACUCUGUUUUUAUAAUGUUUUUCUGAGUAAACAAGCAAAUAAAUUAAAACUUUCAACAACGGAUCUCUUGGCUCUGGCAUCGAUGAAGAACGCAGCGAAAUGCGAUAAGUAAUGUGAAUUGCAGAAUUCAGUGAAUCAUCGAAUCUUUGAACGCACAUUGCGCCCGCCAGUAUUCUGGCGGGCAUGCCUGUUCGAGCGUCAUUACAACCCUCAGGCCCCCGGGCCUGGCGUUGGGGAUCGGCGGAAGCCCCCUGUGGGCACACGCCGUCCCUCAAAUACAGUGGCGGUCCCGCCGCAGCUUCCAUUGCGUAGUAGCUAACACCUCGCAACUGGAGAGCGGCGCGGCCAUGCCGUAAAACACCCAACUUCUGAAUGUUGACCUCGAAUCAGGUAGGAAU
rnacentral:rRNA from 1 species